rnacentral:rRNA from 1 species
CUGUUGGACUCGAGUGCAGGAGGGGCAAAUGGAAUUCCUAGUGUAGCGGUGGAAUGCGUAGAUAUUAGGAGGAACACCAGUGGCGAAGGCGAUUUGCUGGACUGUAACUGACACUGAGGCACGAAAGCGUGGGGAGCAAACAGGAUUAGAUACCCUGGUAGUCCACGCUGUAAACGAUGAAUACUAGGUGUAGGGGGUAUCGAUUCCCUCUGUGCCGCCGCUAACGCAUUAAGUAUUCCGCCUGGGGACUACGGCCGCAAGGUUGAAACUCAAAGAAAUUGACGGGGACCCGCACAAGCAGCGGAGCAUGUGGUUUAAUUCGACGCAACGCGAAAAACCUUACCAGGCCUUGACAUCGAGUGAAAGUCCAAGAGAUUGGACCCUCCUUCGGGACACGAAGACAGGUGCUGCAUGGUUGUCGUCAGCUCGUGUCGUGAGAUGUUAGGUUAAGUCCUGCAACGAGCGCAACCCUCAUAUGUAGUUGCCAUCAUUAAGUUGGGCACUCUGCAUAGACUGCCGUGGUCAACACGGAGGAAGGUGGGGAUGACGUCAAAUCAUCACGGCCCUUACGGCCUGGGCUACACACGUGCUACAAUGGCUAUUACAAAGAGUUGCAAUACAGUAAUGUGGAGCGAAUCUCAAAAAGAUAGUCUCAGUUCGGACUGUGGGCUGCAACCCGCCCACACGAAGUCGGAGUUGCUAGUAAUCCCGAAUCAGCAUGUCGGGGUGAAUGCGUUCCCGGGUCUUGUACACACCGCCCGUCACGCCAUGGGAGUCGGAAGUGCCCAAAGUCGGUGACCUAACCGCAAGGAAGGAGCAGCCGAAGGCAGGUCGGAUGACUGGGGUGAAGUCGUAACAAGGUAGCCGUAA